rnacentral:lncRNA from 1 species
AUAUCAGAUGCAGAUUGUUUAGAAAACACUCUUAUAGAAGUUUUCAAAAAUAUUCAACUAAGAUGGUAAAAUGAUUUUCAAAAUUUAACUGUGUUUCCUAUAUAUACUUUUUUCUUUCUUAAACAAAAAAAACCCGGAAUAAUCAGUGUAGAAUUUUUUAAUUUAAUUUAAUUAAAAACCAAAUACAUAAUAUGUAAUCUUAAAUUUUAUUUAAAAACUAAAAAUAUAUUUAGUAAAAAUUACGUUGUUAACUAUUAUUCUUUUCCAGCAAUGACUAAGAUUUUUUUAUUUUUAAAAUAUCCAUUCAGUGUAUGGAUCAUCAUUUAAAAGCACAAAACAAUUUGUGAGAACAAUUUGUAGAUUGCAGUUGAUUGAAGUUUCAACUCCUUUUGACAUCACUAAAGAUUCGACUUGUAAUCCAAAGUGACUACAUCAUUAUCGUUACAUAAACUACUCUUAAAAAUUAAACUUGUAUAAGAUUUCAGCAGAAUAACUUAAUGAAAUAAAUGACAAAUUCAAAUUUUCACUUUAAGUGAAAAAUCAUUUUAAAAUUCUAGUAUUUACUCAUUUAUUUUGAAUAUGUGAUUGUAAAAGGAUCUAAUUUUCCAUGGUAAAAUUUCAUUACCAAAAUUAAUAAUAUGGAUUUUGGGAUGUAAGCAUCCAAUUUUAUCUCAAAA